ACAAGGUUUCCGUAGGUGAACCUGCGGAAGGAUCAUUACCGAGUUGAUUCGAGCUCCGGCUCGACUCUCCCACCCAAUGUGUACCUACCUCUGUUGCUUUGGCGGGCCGCGGUCCUCCGCACCGGCGCCCUUCGGGGGGCUGGCCAGCGCCCGCCAGAGGACCAUAAAACUCCAGUCAGUGAACUUCGCAGUCUGAAAAACAAGUUAAUAAACUAAAACUUUCAACAACGGAUCUCUUGGUUCUGGCAUCGAUGAAGAACGCAGCGAAAUGCGAUAAGUAAUGUGAAUUGCAGAAUUCAGUGAAUCAUCGAAUCUUUGAACGCACAUUGCGCCCCUUGGUAUUCCGAGGGGCAUGCCUGUUCGAGCGUCAUUUCAACCCUCAAGCUCUGCUUGGUAUUGGGCCCCGUCCUCCACGGACGCGCCUUAAAGACCUCGGCGGUGGCGUCUUGCCUCAAGCGUAGUAGAAAACACCUCGCUUUGGAGCGCACGGCGUCGCCCGCCGGACGAACCUUUGAAUUAUUUCUCAAGGUUGACCUCGGAUCAGGUAGGGAUACCCGCUGAACUUAAGCAU
rnacentral:rRNA from 1 species